GAUGAACGCUGGCGGCGUGCCUAAUACAUGCCAGUCGAGCGAACAGACGAGGAGCUUGCCCCUCUGACGUUAGCGGCGGACGGGUGAGUAACACGUGGAUAACCUACCUAUAAGACUGGGAUAACUUCGGGAAACCGGAGCUAACACCGGAUAAUAUAUUGAACCGCAUGGUUCAAUAGUGAAAGACGGAUUUGCUGUCACUUAUAGAUGGAUCCGCGCCGGAUUAGCUAGUUGGUAAGGUAACGGCUUACCAAGGCUACGAUGCGUAGCCGACCUGAGAGGGUGAUCAGCCACACUGGAACUGAGACACGGUCCAGACUCCUACGGGAGGCAGCAGUAGGGAAUCUUCCGCAAUGGGCGAAAGCCUGACGGAGCAACGCCGCGUGAGUGAUGAAGGUCUUCGGAUCGUAAAACUCUGUUAUUAGGGAAGAACAAAUGUGUAAGUAACUAUGCACGUCUUGACGGUACCUAAUCAGAAAGCCACGGCUAACUACGUG
rnacentral:rRNA from 1 species